GUGUCAGCAGCCGCGGUAAAACGUAGGUACCGAGCGUUAUCCGGAUUUACUGGGCGUAAAGCGCGUUCAGGCGGCCGAGCAAGUCGGGCAUGAAAUCUCUCGGCUCAACCGGGAGGGGUUGUCCGAUACUGCUGGGCUUGAGGGCAGUAGAGGGUGGUGGAAUUCCGGGUGUAGUGGUGAAAUGCGUAGAGAUCCGGAGGAACACCAGUGGCGAAGGCGGCCACCUGGACUGCCCCUGACGCUCAAACGCGAAAGCUAGGGGAGCGAACGGGAUUAGAUACCCCUGUAGUCC
rnacentral:rRNA from 1 species